rnacentral:rRNA from 1 species
UGGGGAAUUUUGGUCAAUGGGGGAAACCCUGAUCCAGCCAUCCCGCGUGUGCGAUGAAGGCCUUCGGGUUGUAAAGCACUUUUGGCAGGAAAGAAACGUCAUGGGUUAAUACCCCGUGAAACUGACGGUACCUGCAGAAUAAGCACCGGCUAACUACGUGCCAGCAGCCGCGGUAAUACGUAGGGUGCAAGCGUUAAUCGGAAUUACUGGGCGUAAAGCGUGCGCAGGCGGUUCGGAAAGAAAGAUGUGAAAUCCCAGAGCUCAACUUUGGAACUGCAGUUUUAACUACCGUGCUAGAGUGUGUCAGAGGGAGGUGGAAUUCCGCGUGUAGCAGUGAAAUGCGUAGAUAUGCGGAGGAACACCGAUGGCGAAGGCAGCCUCCUGGGAUAACACUGACGCUCAUGCACGAAUGCGUGGGGAGAAAACAGG